rnacentral:rRNA from 1 species
UACGUAGGUCCCGAGCGUUGUCCGGAUUUAUUGGGUUUAAAGGGUGCGUAGGCGGACGCUUAAGUCAGCGGUAAAAUUGCGGGGCUCAACCUCGUCGAGCCGUUGAAACUGGGUGCCUUGAGUGGGCGAGAAGUACGCGGAAUGCGUGGUGUAGCGGUGAAAUGCAUAGAUAUCACGCAGAACUCCGAUUGCGAAGGCAGCGUACCGGCGCCCUACUGACGCUGAAGCACGAAGGCGUGGGUAUCGAACAGG